rnacentral:lncRNA from 1 species
ACAUGAUGGGUGCAAAGAUGUAGCUUGUCAACUACGUUUAACAGAAAGUCAACGUCUUCCACAGCAUGAAACUUUUAAGUAGAAGCAUCUACAAACACAUGAUGGGUGCAAAAAAUGUGGCUUGUCAACUAGGUUUAACAGAAAGUCAACGUCUUCCACAGCAUGAAACUCUUGAGGAGAAGCAUCCAGAAACACAUGAUGGGUGCAAAAAUGUAGCUUGUCAACUACGUUUAACAGAAAGUCAACGUCUUCCACAGCAUGAAACUUCAUGAAACUUUAAGGAGAAGUACCGACAAACAGACAUGACCUAAACAAAAACCUAGCUCGUCGAAUAUGUUAACAAGACGCAUUGAGAAGUCCUACAAAAGCAGAGGUCGUCAUGCUUUGGCCUAAG